rnacentral:lncRNA from 1 species
AGAGAUUCAUGGCCAAGUCACCCCUGCUGUUUCAGCCAACAGACAGUCAACCACCAGAGGCAGAAUCUAACCAAAGAUGUAUGGGUGGACUCAUGUGACUGACUAGUUUUGGCCAAUGGAAUGUGGAUGAGAGUGAUGUACUCCACCUCCAGGCCUGGCCCCUAAAAUCUUCUGCAAGACCAUCCACUUGCUCUCUCUUGGCCAGGGAGUCAAGAGAAUAGAAGGCUGUAAGGAGGUUCUAGAAGACAAUGGACAAUCCAAAUGGAAGGAGCAUGAGUUGAGUCACUACUUAGAGGACAACUGUCCAGAGAGCCACUCAACCAGAUAUAUCCUUGCUGGACUCAGUGAAUGAACUGUUCAAGUGCUCAGACACAAGUAACAAAGGGUCAGUCAAAAACUACAUGGAAAUCUGGCGAUUGAAGAUAACAUUAACCAAAUGGUUGACAUUAGAUGUUGCACUCAACGGAGCCAGACGCUCUCUGAUAGGUGAUAAAUAUGUGUGCUAUCAGAAGUGGAUGAUUAUGCAGAUUUUAUUCCACACUGGAUGGUAUUGUGCAGUAUCAUGUUUUUAACAGCUAUAUUGAGGAAUUAUUGACAUAUAAUAAACUGUACACAGUUAAAGUGUACAAUUUGGUAAGUUUGGGCAUGUAUAUAUACCUAUGAAACUAUCACCACAAUCAAGAUAGUGAACAUCUCCAUCACCCCUCAAUUUUCCUGUGCCUCUUUGUAAUGCCUCAUUCCCAAACCCCUGACUCCUUGGCAGGCAACCACUGAUCCUUCUGUCACUAUAGAUUAGUUUGGAUUUUUCAGAAUUUUAAAUAAAUGAAAACAUACAGUAUAGUUCGCUCAGCAUAAUUGUUUUGAGAUGCUUGCAUUUUACAGACGUAGCAAUAGUUUGUUCCCUUUUAUUGCUGAGUAAUAUUCCGUUAUAUGGAUAAAUCCUAGUUUGUUUAUCCGUUCACUUGCUGUUGGACAUUUGGGUUGAUUCAAGCUUCUGGCUAUUACAAAUCAAGCUGUUGUGAACAUUUGCAUACGAAUCUUUUUAUGGCCAUAUGGUUUCAUUUCUCUUGGGUAAAUAUCUAUGGAUCAUAUGGCAUGAGUCCUUUUAAUAUUUUAAGAAACUGCCAAACUGCUUUCCAGAGUGGUUCUACCAUAUUAUACGGCAAGCAUAAGUUUUUGAGAGUCUCAGAAUCUCCUGAAAUUGAAUGAAAAAUAUUGCGUACUCAUUUCUCUUGGGAGAAGGUCCAUAGCCUAAACAUUUGCAACUAAUAUAUUUCCAAUACAGCAUUUUAGUUUUAGUUAUUUUCUGUAUCUUUUGUCAUUACUUAGUAAGUAUCCAUUUGGUCUUAAUUUAGAAGAAAAAAAUUACUAAUAAAUUACUAAUUUUUUUCCACUUCAGGAAAUAAAUCAGUUUCAUGGGCAAGGUUUUCUUCCUGUCCUCACAUCUUUUAGCCUCAAUUGUCAGGAUGGAGAAUUCUUCCAAAAGCCUCGCUUACAUUUUCUUUGAGUGUACCCAUUAUGUAGUGUAACUCUUAUUUUUGUCGUCCUAGUGCUUUCUGAGGCUACCUUGAAAACCUACCCCACUAUCUGGACUGAUCCUACACCCGGGCAUGCUUCUCCCAGGGUAAAACCAAGUCUGCUGGAAGGAUAACUCCAAACUCCUGAGUUUGUGGUCUGGGUGGUAGAGUAUAUUCCUACCUGCCAGACAAGGCGAAGGAGAGUCAGCGAGCAAGCUGACUAAACAGAAAGAGGCCUUGUCUGGGGUUGGGGCAGGUAACAACUUUCGUUAGCUUCUGCGGAAUAUAUUUUGUUGUUUCUCAACAUUGGAUAGGAGUGGGGAUUGGGAGUGUGUAUUCCAUGAGACUUAUCAGCAUUUUCUUAUGAUGAGAAAACGAGAGAGACCUAGCCUGACAAUAGCCAGUGAUUGCAUUAUUUGGUGAACAUAUUUGGUAUAAUAAUGUAUAUUAUAAUAUAUAUAUUAUUUAGUAUAAUAAGAUGAUGUUUUGAUCUCCCACCCGUACUCACCUGUUUCUCCAGGUGCCCCAUCCUUGGUUUACUUCCUCUCAGACUGGUGCCAAUGGCUUCUAACAGCUGUGGCUACUGCAGCUGGAGGCAGGCCUGCUUGUCUGGGGUGGGGUCAUCUUCAGAAAUCCGUGGAGCCAUGGUCUCGCCCUCCCCAUCCUCCUUGUUCCCAGAGACUGGACAGUUUGCCACCAUCCAUUGGCCUAAUCCCCUGGGGGCCAGCCUGAGAAGCAGCGUGCACACACUUUUAUCCCAAAUACCCUUUCUCCACGUUGUCAACUUUCUUUUAUUUCAGGCUUCUCACAUCUCUUCUUUAGAUACCCAAGGGGCAAAAGACUUUGGAGAGGCAUCAGGUAGAGGGAAGAAGGCCACACUACACUGAUUAACAGGGUUUAAAUUAAAAAUAACAAACCACCAUCACCCAAGUGAACUUACAUUGAUAGGUCCUAUUUUAAAAAAAAAAUAUUGACCAUUCUUUCAAAGGGCACAUGAAGUAAAAAGGUUUUGAGGAUAGGAUAGGAACUAAUGUUUAUUGAUAUUCUACUCUGCACCAGAUAUUGCAUUAAGCUCUUGUGUAAUCACACCCUCUGGGGUACACGUUUUUACCUCCAGUUUAUAGGUGAGGAAACUGAGGCCUAGAGAGCACCAACACCUUGCCCUUGCUCUCUCAGAUAGUGAUUGAGAGAACUGGGAUUGAAACUCCGCUGGGCUUGGCUCCAAAACAAAGUCUCUUUCCACACCAUUAUGGUGUAGAGCUGCUGGACAGGAUGAUAUAUAGGGCAGGCCUGGCAAAAUAAAUGUUACAUUGUAAACAUCGGACAAGCCAGGUAUUUGUCAGAGCAAAUGAAUUCUAAUGCAAGGUGGGACGGGAGAGAGCUUCCUGCCCGUACCUCCACACUACCCUUGAGUGAACAGAGUAAUUAUUGGUCGAGGCAAAAUCAUGGUGUCUGGAUAACUCAUUAGCUCUUAUUUGUUUAAAGUCUGAUGGUGUAUGACAAAAGGAUUUGUUCCAGAUGUCAAAGCAGCACAAUAGGGUUUAACAGUCUGUGCUUUGGAAAAGAUCCACCGCAGGAAAUCACAGGAGGUCACUGAGGCAGAGAGAGGCUAGUCAAAGCCAGCUCAACGUGGCAGAAAGCUCCUUCCCAGCACUCCUCCGGGGAAGUCACCGCUUCCUGUCCCACCUCAUCCGUAAAUUCUUGGCCCACAACUCUGAAAGCUAAUG